rfam:Gossypium raimondii Chr02_contig_616, whole genome shotgun sequence.
UAUUAAAAAUUUCAUUUACUCGUAUUGUUAAAAUCUGGCGUGCUUGAUGGAAUAACCACAUUGUGAUAUGUGGUGUGCCACAUAUACGUUAUGUUGAUGCACAUAGAUCAUUUUUUAACAGUAAAAAUGAUGAAAUUUUAACA